ACGACUACACUCCUACGGGAGGCAGCAGUGGGGAAUAUUGGACAAUGGGCGAAAGCCUGAUCCAGCCAUGCCGCGUGUGUGAAGAAGGUCUUCGGAUUGUAAAGCACUUUAAGUUGGGAGGAAGGGCAUUAACCUAAUACUCUGCAAUUUUGACGUUACCGACAGAAUAAGCACCGGCUAACUCUGUGCCAGCAGCCGCGGUAAUACAGAGGGUGCAAGCGUUAAUCGGAAUUACUGGGCGUAAAGCGCGCGUAGGUGGUUUGUUAAGUUGGAUGUGAAAUCCCCGGGCUCAACCUGGGAACUGCAUUCAAAACUGACUGACUAGAGUAUGGUAGAGGGUGGUGGAAUUUCCUGUGUAGCGGUGAAAUGCGUAGGUAUAGGAAGGAACACCAGUGGCGAAGGCGACCACCUGGACUAAUACUGACACUGAGGUGCGAAAGCGUGGGGAGCAAACAGGAUUAGAAACCCUUGUAGUCCACCAAUCC
rnacentral:rRNA from 1 species